rnacentral:rRNA from 1 species
AGGGGGGGAGCAGGUAUCAGGCUCGGAAAACUCCAGCCCACUACACCUUGCCACGCCACAUCCCCACGGAUAAACAGCAGUAGCUAACAUUAGGCCAUAGGCGAUCAAGCCUGACCUAGUUAUGACAAACUAGGGCUGGCAAAUUUCGUGCCAGCAGCCGCGGUUACACGAAAAGCCCAAAACAAUGCUCCCGGCGUAAAGUGUGACCAGAAUACCAGUCUAUUCCCCUUAAGGAGAAACUAAAACUAAGCUGUAAAAUACCAAGACAUUAGGAACCCUACAAUCCUUAAAUUAAAAGACAUUUGACUCACGAAAGCUAAGAAACAAACUAGGAUU